CAGUUUCUGUGAACAAAACCACUUUUUUAUGUCGAAAAACAAAUCAAAAUUCUGUUAUGAACUCAGCAGAAUGCAACUAUGUAUAAAACAAUGAAACAUAAUUUACCCAUUUGUGACGACAUCUAGUGAGGCAUUCAUUUGUUUGGAUAAAGGCAUAAAUGCCUGUAAAUAUCGUUAUACACUCCUGGCAUGUGCUCCAACCAUUUGUGUUAAAAUAUAAGUUGAAGUUUAUACCUACCGUGCUAUUAAUGCUAGUAUUGUUAGGCCGUCCAUGGCGAAUCCUAUUAUGUGCUAGCAGACUUUUGUUGGACAGUUGUGUGGUUUGAGUGAAAAAUGUGUAAUUGUUUUCUUUUUUUUAAUGUUUAAACUUCCACAGGGAAUAGCAAACAGCUUGAAGCGAACAUUUGGCCUUUUUUUUUGAGGAAUCGUUCACCAUCUGCUUCUUGUUGGGAAGUUUGCUUCCACCAUCUAGCACUCAUACCUAAAAUGUUUGCUCUCCACUUGAUUAAAAUCAGCCAGGAGACUGCUUGUAUUAUGAAGAACACAAUUCGAGCCUGUUCGGGGGUGAGGACAUCGCCACAUUUGCAGACCGUGUGGUCCCUUAGUAGCGUCACAACACCUUUUUUUAAGAAAAGAUAUAUAUAAAUCAUGCCGUAAUCCUUCA